rnacentral:rRNA from 1 species
AGGACGAACGCUGGCGGCGUGCUUAACACAUGCAAGUCGAGCGGUAAGGCCUUUCGGGGUACACGAGCGGCGAACGGGUGAGUAACACGUGGGUGAUCUGCCCUGCACUUCGGGAUAAGCCUGGGAAACUGGGUCUAAUACCGGAUAUGACCUCCUAUCGCAUGGUGGGUGGUGGAAAGAUUUAUCGGUGCAGGAUGGGCCCGCGGCCUAUCAGCUUGUUGGUGGGGUAAUGGCCUACCAAGGCGACGACGGGUAGCCGACCUGAGAGGGUGACCGGCCACACUGGGACUGAGACACGGCCCAGACUCCUACGGGAGGCAGCAGUGGGAAUAUUGCACAAUGGGCGAAAGCCUGAUGCAGCGACGCCGCGUGAGGAUGACGGCCUUGGGUUGUAAACCUCUUUCAGCGAGGACGAAGCGACGAAGUGACGGUACCUGACAGAAGAAGCACCGGCUAACUACGUGACCAGCAGCCCGAC